UACGUAGGGUGCAAGCGUUGUCCGGAAUUAUUGGGCGUAAAGAGCUUGUAGGCGGUUUGUCGCGUCUGCUGUGAAAUCUCAAGGCUCAACCUUGAGCUUGCAGUGGGUACGGGCAGACUAGAGUGUGGUAGGGGAGACUGGAAUUCCUGGUGUAGCGGUGAAAUGCGCAGAUAUCAGGAGGAACACCGAUGGCGAAGGCAGGUCUCUGGGCCACUACUGACGCUGAGAAGCGAAAGCAUGGGGGAGCGAACAGG
rnacentral:rRNA from 1 species